rnacentral:rRNA from 1 species
ACGGCCUAAAGCGUGAUUAAAUUAUAUUUAAAUAAAUAGAAAUAAAAAUUAACUCAACUGUCGUACGUAUUUGUUAAAUGGUAAAUCAAAAACGAAAGAUAUUCUAAUAAACAAAUUACUUGAAUUCACGAAAGCUAAGAAACAAACUAGGAUUAGAUACCCUACUAUGCUUAGCCUUAAACUUUGGAAUCUGCCCGCCUGAGUACUACGAGCCACAGCUUAAAACUCAAAGGACUUGGCGGUGCUCUACACCCCCCUAGAGGAGCCUGUUCUAUAAUUGAUACCCCCCGCUAAACCUCACCACUUAUUGCCAAUACCGCCUAUAUACCGCCGUCGUCAGCUCACCAUUUAAAUGAAAAAUAGUAGGCAUAAUGAUAAACAUAAAAACGUCAGGUCAAGGUGUAGCGGAUUAAGUGGAAAGAAAUGGGCUACAUUUUCUAAACCAGAAAAUACGAAAAAUUUUAUGAAAAACUAUUUAAAGGUGGAUUUAGCAGUAAAAAGAAAAUAGAGUGUUCUUUUUAAAUUGGCCAUAGAGCGCGCACACACCGCCCGUCACCCUCAUCAGAAUAACAAUUAAUUAUAUAAUAAAAGGAAAAAAAAGAAGAGGAAAGUCGUAACAUGGUAAGUUUACCGGAAGGUGUACUUGGAUUAU